GAAGAAGAAGAAAAGGAAGGAAAAAAGAAAAAAAUUAAAAAAGAGGCGACAAUAUCGAUCAAUGCAUUUUCUUGCUCCUACUACUCCUCCUCUUCCCCCCCCCUUCUCCUUCUCCU
rnacentral:ribozyme from 12 species